rnacentral:rRNA from 2 species
CACGUGAGCAACCUACCCUUGACACUGGGAUAACAGUUGGAAACAGCUGCUAAUACCGGAUACGAACUCAGCAGGCAUCUGCCGAGUUGGAAAGCUCCGACGGUCAAGGAUGGGCUCGCGGCCUAUCAGCUUGUUGGUGAGGUAACGGCUCACCAAGGCGACGACGGGUAGCCGGCCUGAGAGGGCGACCGGCCACACUGGGACUGAGAUACGGCCCAGACUCCUACGGGAGGCAGCAGUGGGGAAUAUUGCGCAAUGGGCGAAAGCCUGACGCAGCAACGCCGCGUGCGGGAUGACGGCCUUCGGGUUGUAAACCGCUUUCAGCAGGGACGAAACUGACGGUACCUGCAGAAGAAGCACCGGCUAACUACGUG